rnacentral:rRNA from 1 species
GAUGAACGCUGGCGGCGUGCCUAAUACAUGCAAGUCGAGCGAGCGGCGGACGGGUGAGUAAUGUCUGGGAAACUGCCUGAUGGAGGGGGAUAACUACUGGAAACGGUAGCUAAUACCGCAUACCAUCAGAUGUGCCCAGAUGGGAUUAGCUAGUAGGUGGGGUAAUGGCUCACCUAGGCGACGAUCCCUAGCUGGUCUGAGAGGAUGAACAGCCACUGUGGAACAGAGACCCGGGCCAGACUCCUCCGGGAGGCAGCAGGGGGGAAGAUUGAACAAUGGGCGCAAGCCUGAGGCAGCCAUGCCGCGUGUGUGAAGAAGCCCUUCGGGUUGUAAACCACUUUCAGCGAGGAGGCGUUACUCGCAGAAGAAGCACCGGCUAACUCCGUGCCAGCAGCCGCGGUAAUAU